GUUGCUUGUAGCUCAGUGGAUAGAGCACCCCUUUGACGAAGGGGCGGUCGCGGGUUCGAGUCCCGUCAGGCCCA
rnacentral:tRNA from 1 species